ensembl:snoRNA SNORD39 Small nucleolar RNA SNORD55/SNORD39
GCCGUGUGAGGCCACCUCUGCCAUGCUGCAGGCUCCCCAGCACGCAGUGGGGAACCCAACCUUGGAGAGCCGAGCCGGG